AUCACAAGUUGUACAUCUUCUUUUAUGAUCUCCUAUGUUGUGAUGAAGUUCUUAGGACUUUUAGAAUCGACAAAAGAAGAUUUAUCGUUGAGUCCUUAAAUAUGUUUGCGACUAAACGAUAUACUAUUACUAGAACGAUAGCUACAUUAAGUGUAGGUUGUUGUAUAUCAUAUAAGUUAGUUGUUCUCUUAACCAAGGAGUGUGGAGACACUAGUAUGGCAUGCAGGUG
rnacentral:lncRNA from 1 species